UACGAAGGGUGCAAACGUUGCUCGGAAUUAUUGGGCGUAAAGCGCACGUAGGCGGCUUAGCAAGUCGGAUGUGAAAUCCCUCGGCUCAACCAAGGAAGUGCAUCCGAAACUGCUGAGCUUGAGUACUUAAGAGGAUCGCGGAAUUCCCGGUGUAGAGGUGAAAUUCGUAGAUAUCGGGAGGAACACCAGUGGCGAAGGCGGGUCUCUGGACAGUUCCUGACACUGAGACACGAAGGCCAGGGGAGCAAACGGG
rnacentral:rRNA from 1 species